rnacentral:rRNA from 1 species
CCUGGUUGAUCCUGCCAGUAGCAUAUGCGUGUCUCAAAGAUUAAGCCAUACAUGUGUAAGUACAGUGAAACUGCAAAUGGCUCAUUAAAUCAGUUAUGGUUCCUUUGAUCGCUCCAUCUGUUACUUGGAUAACUGUGGGAAUUAUAGAGCUAAUAUAUGCUGACGAGCGUGGACCUCCUGGGAUGCGUGCAUUUAUCAAACCAAGACCAAUCUGGGCUCGCCCGGCCGCUUUGGUGAUUCUAGGUUACCUCAGGCCGAUCGCACAACCAUGUGACCGCGAUGAUGCAUUCAGAUGUCUGCCCUAUCGACUUUCGAUGGCACUUUCUGUGCCUACCAUGGUGACCACGGGUAAUGGGGAAUCGGGGUUCAAUUCUGGAGAGGGAGCCUGAGAAAUGGCUACCACAUCAAGGAUUGCAGCAGGAGCCCAAAUUACCCAAUCCCAACUCCGGGAGGUAGUGACGAAAAAUAACAAUACAGGACUCUUUUGAGGCACUGUAAUUGGAAUGAGUACACUUUAAAUCCUUUAACGAGUAGCCAUUGGAUGGCAAGUCUGGUGCCGGCAGCCGUGGUAAUUCUAGUUCCAAUAGCAUAUAUUAAAGUUGCUGCAGUUAAAAAGCUCGUAGUUCGAUCUUGGGAUCGAGCUGUUGAUCCGCCGCGAGGCGAGCUACCACUGCCUGUCUCAGCCCCCCUGCCUCUUGAUGCUCUUGACUGAGUGUCCUGGGGGUCUGAAGCGUUUACUUUGAAAACAGUAAUGUUCAAAGCAGGCCGGUCGCCUGAAUACUUAAGCUAGGAAUAAUGGAAUAGGACACUGGUUCUAUUUUUGUUGUUUUUCGGAACUGGGGCUGUGAUUAAGAGGGACGGCCGGGGGCAUUCGUAUUGUGCCGCUAGAAGUGACAUUCUUGGACCAGCGCAGGGCAAACCUAAGUGAAAGCAUUAGCCAAUAAUAUUUUCAUUAAUCUACUUCCGUAGCUCCACACAUAAACUAUGCUGAUUAGCGAUCUGGCAGUGUUAUUCCCAUGACCCGCCAAGCAGCUUCUGUGAAACCAAAGUCUUUGGGUUAUGGGGGGAUGGUUGCAAAGCUGAAACUUAAAGGAAUUGAUGGCAGAGCACCACCAGGAGUGGAGCCUGCGUCUUGAAACCUCGCCCGGACACGGAAAAGAUUGACAGAUUGAUAGCUCUUUCUCGAUUCUGUGGGUAGUGGUGCAUGGCCGUUCUUAGUUGGUGGAGUGAUUUGUCUGGUUAAAUCCGACAAUGAACGAGACUCCUCCAUGCUAACUAAUUAUUUGCCAUGAAUGAGGAAUUCCCAUUAAGUGCGGUUCAUAAGCUUGUGUCAAUUAAGUCCUGCCCUCAUUACACACCGCCGUCGCUACUACAGAUUGGAUGGUUUAGUGAGGUUCUUGGUCGGUGAGAAGACUAUCAAACUUGACUAUCUAGAGGAAGACGUACGGGUUGGGUUAACCUGCUGGGGACAUUC